rnacentral:rRNA from 1 species
UACGUAGGGCGCGAGCGUUGUCCGGAAUUAUUGGGCGUAAAGAGCUCGUAGGCGGCCUGUUGCGUCUGCUGUGAAAUCCCGGGGCUGAACCCCGGGCGUGCAGUGGAUACGGGCAGGCUGGAGGCAGGCAGGGGAGAAUGGAAUUCCCGGUGUAGCGGUGAAAUGCGCAGAUAUCGGGAGGAACACCGGUGGCGAAGGCGGUUCUCUGGGCCUGGUCUGACGCUGAGGAGCGAAAGCGUGGGGAGCGAACAGG